GACGAACCGUGCGAACGUUGUUCGGAAUCACUGGGCUUAAAGGGCGCGUAGGCGGGUUUUCAAGUCUGUGGUGAAAGCCUCCAGCUUAACUGGAGAAGUGCCGUGGAUACUGGAGACCUCGAGGAGGGUAGGGGCAUCUGGAACAGCCGGUGGAGCGGUGAAAUGCGUUGAUAUCGGCUGGAAACUCCGAUGGCGAAGGCAAGGUGCUGGACCCUCUCUGACGCUGAGGCGCGAAAGCCAGGGGAGCGAACGGG
rnacentral:rRNA from 1 species